AGUAAAAGUCGUAACAAGGUCUCCGUUGGUGAACCAGCGGAGGGAUCAUUACCGAGUUUACAACUCCCAAACCCCUGUGAACAUACCUAUACGUUGCCUCGGCGGAUCAGCCCGCGCCCCGUAAAAAGGGACGGCCCGCCCGAGGACCCCUAAACUCUGUUUUUAGUGGAACUUCUGAGUAAAACAAACAAAUAAAUCAAAACUUUCAACAACGGAUCUCUUGGUUCUGGCAUCGAUGAAGAACGCAGCAAAAUGCGAUAAGUAAUGUGAAUUGCAGAAUUCAGUGAAUCAUCGAAUCUUUGAACGCACAUUGCGCCCGCCAGUAUUCUGGCGGGCAUGCCUGUUCGAGCGUCAUUUCAACCCUCAAGCUCAGCUUGGUGUUGGGACUCGCGGUAACCCGCGUUCCCCAAAUCGAUUGGCGGUCACGUCGAGCUUCCAUAGCGUAGUAAUCAUACACCUCGUUACUGGUAAUCGUCGCGGCCACGCCGUUAAACCCCAACUUCUGAAUGUUGACCUCGGAUCAGGUAGGAAUACCCGCUGAACUUAAGCAUAUCAAUAAGCGGAGGAAAAGAAACCAACAGGGAUUGCCCCAGUAACG
rnacentral:rRNA from 1 species